GGAAGCCCUUCAGCCGCACUUCCAAGCUGUUUGUAAAAUCUGUAUUCUAAAUGGAGUUGUGGUGCACGUGAUUUUAUUGGUUCCAGUUUGAUUGCUACGUAUUCAUUGGUGUAGAGAUUUUUGCCUAGUCUGAGCUCGCCAAAGUUCCCACACCCAAUCUUCUUGCCCACUCUGAAGUUGGGUCCCACCAUAAGAACACCAGAAGAUGCAGACGAGCUCGGCCGAGAGCCGUGACCGCUCCUCCCGGGCAUCCCUUUCGUCGUCCGCUGCCUUUCAUCCUUUUCCCUAUUGGGAUGGUCCAUGAUCUUAG
rnacentral:lncRNA from 1 species